rnacentral:tRNA from 1 species
GAGGGUAUAGCUCAGUGGGAGAGUUUGUGCUUAGCAUGCACAAGGUCAUGGGUUCAAUCCUCAGUACCUCCA